rnacentral:rRNA from 1 species
UAGGGAAUCUUCCACAAUGGACGCAAGUCUGAUGGAGCAACGCCGCGUGAGUGAAGAAGGUUUUCGGAUCGUAAAGCUCUGUUGUUGGUGAAGAAGGAUAGAGGCAGUAACUGGUCUUUAUUUGCCGGUAAUCAACCAGAAAGUCACGUCUAACUACGUGCCAGCAGCCGCGGUAAUACGUAGGUGGCAAGCGUUGUCCGGAUUUAUUGGGCGUAAAGCGAGCGCAGGCGGAAUGAUAAGUCUGAUGUGAAAGCCAACGGCUCAACCGUGGAACUGCAUCGGAAACUGUCAUUCUUGAGUGCAGAAGAGGAGAGUGGAAUUCCAUGUGUAGCGGUGGAAUGCGUAGAUAUAUGGAAGAACACCAGUGGCGAAGGCGGCUCUCUGGUCUGCAACUGACGCUGAGGCUCGAAAGCAUGGGUAGCGAACAGG